GACGGAAGGUGCAAGCGUUGCUCGGAAUCACUGGGCGUAAAGGGUGCGUAGGCGGCCGUGCAAGUCUGGCGUGAAAGCCCCGGGCUCAGCCCGGGAAGUGCGCUCGAAACUGCGCGGCUCGAGUGCCGGAGGGGAGAGUGGAAUUCCUGGUGUAGCGGUGAAAUGCGUAGAUAUCGGGAGGAACACCAGUGGCGAAGGCGGCGACCUGGGUCGACGACUGACGCUGAGGCGCG
rnacentral:rRNA from 1 species